rnacentral:tRNA from 1 species
GCCCCAGUGGUCUAAUGGAUAAGGCAUUGACCUCCUAAAUCAUUGAUUAUGGAUUCACCUAUCUGGGGUG